AACGAACGCUGGCGGCAUGCCUAACACAUGCAAGUCGAACGAGACCUUCGGGUCUAGUGGCGCACGGGUGCGUAACGCGUGGGAAUCUGCCCUUGGGUUCGGAAUAACAGUUAGAAAUGACUGCUAAUACCGGAUAAUGUCUUCGGACCAAAGAUUUAUCGCCCAGGGAUGAGCCCGCGUAGGAUUAGCUAGUUGGUGAGGUAAAGGCUCACCAAGGCGACGAUCCUUAGCUGGUCUGAGAGGAUGAUCAGCCACACUGGGACUGAGACACGGCCCAGACUCCUACGGGAGGCAGCAGUGGGAAUAUUGGACAAUGGGCGAAAGCCUGAUCCAGCAAUGCCGCGUGAGUGAUGAAGGCCUUAGGGUUGUAAAGCUCUUUUACCCGGGAUGAUAAUGACAGACCGGGAGAAUAAGCCCCGGCUAACUCCGUAGCCAGCAGCCGCGGU
rnacentral:rRNA from 1 species